rnacentral:tRNA from 1 species
GCGUCGUUAGCUCAGUUGGUAGAGCAGCCGACUCUUAAUCGGCGGGUCGGGGGUUCAAGUCCCUCACGGCGCA